rnacentral:rRNA from 1 species
GACGAACCGAGCGAACGUUGUUCGGAAUCACUGGGCUUAAAGGGCGCGUAGGCGGGUGCUCAAGUCCGUGGUGAAAUCCUCCGGCUCAACCGGAGAACUGCCUCGGAUACUGGGCGUCUCGAGUGUGGUAGGGGUAUGCGGAACUAUCGGUGGAGCGGUGAAAUGCGUUGAUAUCGAUAGGAACUCCGGUGGCGAAGGCGGCAUCCUGGACCAACAUUGACGCUGAGGAGCGAAAGCCAGGGGAGCAAACGGG